rnacentral:lncRNA from 1 species
CUGAUGCACAAUCUGAUCUUCUUCGAUCUGCAUGUACUUACGGGCUCGAGCCAGAAGAUCAAUAUAGUCUCUCGGAUACAUCUUGUCGAGGUAGUAGAUAAGGCACUCGUUGUGGAGGCCUCACUUCAAAGCCAACAUGGUUAUGGCUUCACCCAUGUUGUGCACUUCCAACAUAGUCACAUUAAAUUGUGCUACAUAGUCUUGCAAAGAUUCUCCCUCUUCUUGGUGGAGGGAGAAGAGAUUAUCUGAAGUCCUCAGUUAGACUUGGAUAUUUCUAAAGUGAGCAACAAACCAGCAUCUGAGUUGCUUGAAGGAGGUGAUGGACUUUGACUGAAGCAUGGAGUACUAGG